rnacentral:rRNA from 1 species
AGGUAAUAGAUACCCGGGUAGUCCAUGCCGUAAACGUUGGGCACUAGGUGUGGGGGACAUUCCACGUUUUCCGCGCCGUAGCUAAACGCAUUAAAGUGCCCCGCCUGGGGAGUACGGCCGCAAGGCUAAAACUCAAAGGAAUUGACGGGGGCCCGCACAAGCGGCGGAGCAUGCGGAUUAAUUCGAUGCAACGCGAAGAACCUUACCAAGGCUUGACAUGAACCAGACCGGGCUGGAAACAGUCCUUCCCUUGUGGGUUGGUUUACAGGUGGUGCAUGGUUGUCGUCAGCUCGUGUCGUGAGAUGUUGGGUUAAGUCCCGCAACGAGCGCAACCCUCGUUCUAUGUUGCCAGCACGUGAUGGUGGGGACUCAUAGGAGACUGCCGGGGUCAACUCGGAGGAAGGUGGGGACGACGUCAAAUCAUCAUGCCCCUUAUGUCUUGGG